AACGAACGCUGGCGGCAUGCCUAACACAUGCAAGUCGAACGAGAUCUUCGGGUCUAGUGGCGCACGGGUGCGUAACGCGUGGGAAUCUGCCCUUUGGUUCGGAAUAACAGUUGGAAACGACUGCUAAUACCGGAUGAUGACGAAAGUCCAAAGAUUUAUCGCCAGAGGAUGAGCCCGCGUAGGAUUAGCUAGUUGGUGUGGUAAAGGCGCACCAAGGCGACGAUCCUUAGCUGGUCUGAGAGGAUGAUCAGCCACACUGGGAUUGAGACACGGCCCAGACUCCUACGGGAGGCAGCAGUGGGGAAUAUUGGACAAUGGGCGAAAGCCUGAUCCAGCAAUGCCGCGUGAGUGAUGAAGGCCUUAGGGUUGUAAAGCUCUCUUACCCGGGAUGAUAAUGACAGUACCGGGAGAAUAAGCCCCGGCUAACUCCGUGCCAGCCGCCGCAGUAA
rnacentral:rRNA from 1 species